rnacentral:lncRNA from 1 species
GCACCAAAACAAACAAAAAACAAAAACAAAACAACAACAACAACAACAAACCCCUCAAACCACUGUCUAUUGUUCCUAUCAGCCCUCGCUAACCUGAGUGAUUCUGAAACUACACAAGCUGCAUUUGGGAGAAGGAGAAGUGUCUGGGAAGGGGCCCCGAAGAGAGGAAGAAGAACAGACGGAGACCAGGGGGAACUGGGAAGGAGCAAGUGCGGAGGCGAUCCUGAAGCUGCUGAGGAAGGAAGAUGGGUGAGCUCGCCUCAAGCUCUUUUGCUGCAGAAAUGCACGGAAAAUAUGAGAGGAUCCUGAAAGAAUUCUCUGGCAGAGAGCACAUCUUGUUUUCGGCCGGCAUUUGUUCGUCGUCGUCGUCGUCACUACCUACAUUCCCCCGCCGUGUUCACAUAUGAAAACAAUUAUUUCUCAGUUCAGGAAGUCGGUUUUAAUCGUUAGUUUGGCUUCAAAGGAUCCAGCACCCUUUACAAGGUCAGACUAGCUCCAAAGACAGCUAGGCAGAAACUCUGGCCUGGGAGUAAGCUGAGCUUUCCUGGUAGGCAACUGCUUAGAACUUGUGCUUGAGUCCUGGAAAUGAGGAAGAUGUCCUAUCUGAGGUGGAAGGGAAGAGUUCAUCCCUGAGUGCUGGAGAGACGGUCUCAGAGAAACAACUUCCCUCGGUCUCACCUGCACUCGGUAUUCAACAAGUUCCACUGGAG